CACACAUAUUAUAUACCGUUUGUCUUGCCAUUAAAUGGUCUUUCAAUUGAUACCAUUAUUUUCAUCAUAUAUAAUUUACUAAAAAAUUUUGUUUUUAUAAAAUGAAAAAAUUUAAAACACUUUUUGACCCCCAAAAUCUGUUACCCAUCUACAACUGCCAAAAAACACCCAUGCUAGUUUCUAAAUUUUGUCCUGAGUUUAGAAAUACCCAAUGUUAACAUGUUCUUAGCUUUUUUUUUUUU